rnacentral:misc_RNA from 1 species
UUUCCGUAGGUGAACCUGCGGAAGGAUCAUUACUAAGUGCCGGUCCCUCGUGGACCGAACCUCCCACCCUUGUCUCUUUUAUACCCUAUUGCUUUGGCGGGCCCACUAGGAAUUCCAAGUCGCCCUGUAGCACUUCACCCUUUGUCCCGUACCUACCAUGACUACCCUGAACCAUAGACAACUUUCACCAUCGGAGCACUAUUCACAAGAAUCAAAACUUUCAACAACAGAUCUCUUGGUUACGGCACUGAAGAAGAACGCACCAUAUCUGAAUAGCAA